rnacentral:siRNA from 1 species
UGAAGUGUUUAGGGAGCCACACCU